GCCUGCUUCUCCCUCCUUCUCUGCCUCUCUCUCUCUCUCUCUCUCUCCAUAUCUAUCAUAAAUGAAUGAAUAAAUAAAUCUUUAAAAAAAUAAAAUAAAAUAAAGCUUUAAGCACCCUAAGAACACAAAGAAGCCAGCCUUGUUUUCAUCACCGCAGGCUCUCUGACCUACCUCUCUCUGUGCAUGCCCUUUAAUACAAAGAUAUGAAACAAACUAAGACAAUAUUAGAAUGUAAACUCAGUAAAGGAGAGAAUACAGUUUGUUUCCUUCACUGACAUUUAUCCAGUCCUAGAACAGUACCUGACACAUGAUAGAUGCUAAAAACAAAAAAAACAAAAAACAAACUUGGUAAGUGAAGGAAUGAGUAUGUUUGCCAAGUUUCUGAUCUCAAGGAGUUUAAAACCUAGAAGAAGGCAUAGGUCAUCAUCAGAAAUCCCCUCAGCAAAGGUAGAGAUUGUGGGUUGUUUUAAGACAGGUAGAAAUCAUUUAGGGGAGAGAGAGAGAAAGCAAUUCUGUCUGGGUUGAUGAGAAGUUUUGAAAUAAAGGAAGGGUGUUUGUCGGGAAAAGGAAGAGUAAAAGAGAAACAGAAAAUACCAGAUAGGGCUUAUGUAAAAGAUUAGUGUUUGAGAAAAGACCUAGGGCAGCCCGGGUGGCUCAGUGGUUUAGCGCCGCCUUGAGCCCAGGGCGCGAUCCUGGAGACCCAGGAUCAAGUCCCACGUCGGGUUCCCUGCAUGGAGCCUGCUUCUCCCUCUGCCUGUGUCUCUGCCUCUCUCUCUCUCCCCCUGUGUCUGUCAUGAAUAAAUAAAUAAAACCUUUAAAAAAAAAAAAAAAGAAAAAGAGAAAAGACCUAAAAGUCAUCUCUGGUAAUAAUUAAAGCCCCAAGACAGCGUGAAUCAGGAAGAAAGAAUAUGGAGAAAUUUAAGGAUCCAAAUAUAAGAGAAUCAAAACAUAGUAGGUGCCCAGCUAAUGUUUGAUAAACAAAUACCAUUUUAAAAAGGCAUCCCAGCCCCCACUUUUUUUCAAUUUUAUAAAUAACUAUAUUAAUUUUUGAAUGUUUAUUUUAUUUAUUUUUAAGACUUUUAUUUCUUUCUUUCUUUGACACAAGCAGGGGGAGCAGCAGGCAGAGGGAGAGGGAGAAGCAGGCUCCCCACUGAGCGGGAAGCCUGAUGCAGGGCUCAAUCUCAGGACCCUGGGAUCAUGACCUGAGCUGAAAGCAGCUGCUUAACUGACUGAGCCACCCAGGCACUCCAAAAUUAUAUUGAUUGACUUUUUAAAAUGUAAACAUUUUAAGCCUCAAAGGUCUGUGCAAAGAGACUAUGAGAAAUUCUGCAAAUACAAAAGGUUAUAGGAAGAGUUUGUGGGAACAGUGAACAACAGUGACACUCUAUAACAUUCUUCAUAAUGUUUGCUUUCACAGAAGUCAGCCAUGAGACAGAUAUAAUAUAUACGAAUGAGCUUUCUUGACUUCCUUUUUUACAUAAGAAACCAAUAAUUUCCCAGGACCUGUUUCAUUCUCAUUUUAUUGAAAAUGUUGCCAAAUAACAUACAGAGGGUUCAGUUCCACAAACUGUAACUUGAGCAGGACCGUGUCACUAGAGCUCUUCCUUGUAUCCACAGUCUCUUGCUCCAAACCUGGUGCUCAGUAGAUGCUCAGCAAUACUUGUUGAAUGAACCAAUAUUUUUGGAGGGGUCCUAUGUGCAAAGCUCUGGGGGACGAAAAGGUGGCACAAGGAAAGAAGGAGUCAUGCUUCCCACCUUCAGAGAGUUCACAGCCCAGGCUGAGUGUAAAGCAGGACUGUGGGCGGGGAACAGGUGCACACAGGGGACACAGCUCUGCUGGAAGGCCGGGUGUCAUAACCACAAGCAGCGCGCCUAAGUAGCAUAAGCAUAAUACACUAUUUAGGUGCCACUUCACAGUUUAUAUAGUAUUUUAUUAUCUGAUUCUCUAAAAAUGGGGAAGAGUGGGGUUACUUCUUAAAGGACAGAUUGCAGGGGUAAGGGCUGGGGCAGUGUUGAUGAGAGGUCUGGUAACGCUUCAGAGAGACAGGAUUUGAACGUGGCCCCAAAGGAUGGGUAGAAAUUAGAGGUAACCUUCACUGAAUACAUGCCGUGUGCCAGGCUUCAGCAUUUUACUUGCUUGCUCAGUAAAUGAUGAACUCAGUCCUCACAACAAUCUCUGUGGAAGGCUCCGUUUUCACCCAGAAGAGGAAACUGAGGUACAAUAGAGUUAAUGAAGCUGCUCAAAGUCACACAGCUAGUGGCAGAGGCAAAUGGUCUGUUUCCAGAACACCAGCUCUUUUUUUUUAAAGAUUUUUUUAUUUAUUUAUUUAUUUAUUUAUUUGAGAGACAGACAGCAUGAGUAGGGGGAGGGGUGGAGGGAGAGGGAGAAACAGAUUCCCCAUUAAGCGGGGAGCCCAAUGUGGGGUUCAAUCCCAGGACUCUGGGAUUAUGACCUGAGCCGAAGGCAGAUGCUUAACUGACUGAGCCACCUAGGCGCCCCUCAGAGCACCAGCUCUUAAUCAUGGUGGCAUAUUGGGGUUUGCAUAGGUGGCUCACGGGUGUUACAGGUGUGGGGAGCAGUUCAGGUAGAAGGAAAACCUGAGCUGCUGGUAUAAAGGCCUUAUGGUUAGAGCAUGCCCAGUGUGUUUGGGAAAAAGCACAUGUAUAGAAGGUUGGCAGGGAAGAUUAGUAGGAUGAGAAGCGGAGAAAGGCAGGAGGAACUAAUCAAUAGGGGAUGGCUGACUAUACCAUGUUACAUUCACACCAAGAUGGUAGAGUAGAAUAUUUUAUGAAUGGAAAGAUCUUCAUGAUACAUGAUUUAUGAAUAUAGUAGUUACCAUUUUUAAAUCUUAUCAUAGGCCAGGAGCUGUGUCAACCAAUUCAUGCAGCUUAUCUCAUUAAUCUUCAUGGCAGCUCUCUGGGGCAGGUGUGACUACCCCCCAUCUAUUAAUUGUAGAUGAUGAUCAUGUCUGAAGCUUAGACAGCGUUAUGUGACUUCCCCUAACUCAUGUUCUCUGUUUCACUCCUCAAACUUGUAACCACCAAUUAAAAAUAAAGGGUGGCAAGGGCCAAAUUUACAAAUUAAUUACAGGAAUUUGGUCUAUUUUAUAUAUAUUAGGACCUAUUGAAGGUUUUUGAAAAUUUGGGCAAUUAUAGUGAAUAAUUAUUGAAAAAAAAAAA
rnacentral:lncRNA from 1 species